rnacentral:tRNA from 1 species
GGGCUCGUAGCUCAGUGGGAGAGCGCUCGCCUCACACGCGAGAGGUCACAGGUUCAAAACCUGUCGGGCCCA